UCACACUACGCAGAGUUAGCCGGGGGUCCGUUGCCCGGUCAGCGGGACGGGGGGUUCCGCUGACCGAUCAGCGGACGGUGGUUCCACUGACCGAUCAACGAACGAGGGUCAAGGGGGCAGCACCCCCUUGCGGGGUUGAAGGGGCAGCGCCUCUGGCCGAAAAUUUUAAUGAACAAUUCAUUUGAAAUCGACGGCGUUUUUCGCAUCGACACUUGAUAGUUUAAAGCACAACUCUUGCGCAGUCACAACCCUAAUCACAUAACUCUUUGAC
rnacentral:lncRNA from 1 species